rnacentral:rRNA from 1 species
GCGGCAACAGCUCAAAUUUGAAAUCUGGCUCCUUUGGUGCCCGAGUUGUAAUUUGCAGAGGGUGCUUUGGUGUUGGCUGUGGUCCAAGUUCCCUGGAACAGGACGUCACAGAGGGUGAGAACCCCGUACGUGGCCGCCAGUCUUCGCCGUGUAAAGCCCCUUCGACGAGUCGAGUUGUUUGGGAAUGCAGCUCUAAAUGGGAGGUAAAUUCCUUCUAAAGCUAAAUAUUGGCCAGAGACCGAUAGCGCACAAGUAGAGUGAUCGAAAGAUGAAAAGCACUUUGGAAAGAGAGUGAAAUAGCACGUGAAAUUGUUGAAAGGGAAGCGCUUGGAGCCAGACGUGCCCGUAGUUGCUCAGCCGGGGUUCUCCCCGGUGCACUCUUCUGCGGGCAGGCCAGCAUCAGUUUGGGCGGUUGGACAAAGGCCUGCUAAACGUACCUCCCCCCGGGGAGGACUUAUAGGGUAGGCGGCAUACGACCAGCCCGGACUGAGGACCGCGCAUCUGCUAGGAUGCUGGCGUAAUGGCUGUAAGCGGCCCGUCUUGAAACACGGACCAAGGAGUCUAACAUCUAUGCGAGUGUUUGGGUGUCAAGCCCGAGCGCGCAAUGAAAGUGAACGCAGGUGGGAGCCUCUCGGGGCGCACCAUCGACCGAUCCUGAUGUCUUCGGAAGGAUUUGAGUAAGAGCAUAGCUGUUGGGACCCGAAAGAUGGUGAACUAUGCCUGAAUAGGGUGAAGCCAGAGGAAACUCUGGUGGAGGCUCGCAGCGGUUCUGACGUGCAAAUCGAUCGUCAAAUUUGGGCAUAGGGGCGAAAGACUAAUCGA